rnacentral:rRNA from 1 species
GGGUUGUGAGGUUAAGCGACUAAGCGUACACGGUGGAUGCCCUGGCAGUCAGAGGCGAUGAAGGACGUGCUAAUCUGCGAUAAGCGUCGGUAAGGUGAUAUGAACCGUUAUAACCGGCGAUUUCCGAAUGGGGAAACCCAGUGUGAUUCGUCACACUAUCAUUAACUGAAUCCAUAGGUUAAUGAGGCGAACCGGGGGAACUGAAACAUCUAAGUACCCCGAGGAAAAGAAAUCAACCGAGAUUCCCCCAGUAGCGGCGAGCGAACGGGGAGCAGCCCAGAGCCUGAAUCAGUGUGUGUGUUAGUGGAAGCGUCUGGAAAGGCGCGCGAUACAGGGUGACAGCCCCGUACACAAAAAUGCACAUGCUGUGAGCUCGAUGAGUAGGGCGGGACACGUGGUAUCCUGUCUGAAUAUGGGGGGACCAUCCUCCAAGGCUAAAUACUCCUGACUGACCGAUAGUGAACCAGUACCGUGAGGGAAAGGCGAAAAGAACCCCGGCGAGGGGAGUGAAAAAGAACCUGAAACCGUGUACGUACAAGCAGUGGGAGCCUCUUUAUGGGGUGACUGCGUACCUUUUGUAUAAUGGGUCAGCGACUUAUAUUCUGUAGCAAGGUUAACCGAAUAGGGGAGCCGAAGGGAAACCGAGUCUUAACUGGGCGUUAAGUUGCAGGGUAUAGACCCGAAACCCGGUGAUCUAGCCAUGGGCAGGUUGAAGGUUGGGUAACACUAACUGGAGGACCGAACCGACUAAUGUUGAAAAAUUAGCGGAUGACUUGUGGCUGGGGGUGAAAGGCCAAUCAAACCGGGAGAUAGCUGGUUCUCCCCGAAAGCUAUUUAGGUAGCGCCUCGUGAAUUCAUCUCCGGGGGUAGAGCACUGUUUCGGCAAGGGGGUCAUCCCGACUUACCAACCCGAUGCAAACUGCGAAUACCGGAGAAUGUUAUCACGGGAGACACACGGCGGGUGCUAACGUCCGUCGUGAAGAGGGAAACAACCCAGACCGCCAGCUAAGGUCCCAAAGUCAUGGUUAAGUGGGAAACGAUGUGGGAAGGCCCAGACAGCCAGGAUGUUGGCUUAGAAGCAGCCAUCAUUUAAAGAAAGCGUAAUAGCUCACUGGUCGAGUCGGCCUGCGCGGAAGAUGUAACGGGGCUAAACCAUGCACCGAAGCUGCGGCAGCGACACUGUGUGUUGUUGGGUAGGGGAGCGUUCUGUAAGCCUGUGAAGGUGUACUGUGAGGUAUGCUGGAGGUAUCAGAAGUGCGAAUGCUGACAUAAGUAACGAUAAAGCGGGUGAAAAGCCCGCUCGCCGGAAGACCAAGGGUUCCUGUCCAACGUUAAUCGGGGCAGGGUGAGUCGACCCCUAAGGCGAGGCCGAAAGGCGUAGUCGAUGGGAAACAGGUUAAUAUUCCUGUACUUGGUGUUACUGCGAAGGGGGGACGGAGAAGGCUAUGUUGGCCGGGCGACGGUUGUCCCGGUUUAAGCGUGUAGGCUGGUUUUCCAGGCAAAUCCGGAAAAUCAAGGCUGAGGCGUGAUGACGAGGCACUACGGUGCUGAAGCAACAAAUGCCCUGCUUCCAGGAAAAGCCUCUAAGCAUCAGGUAACAUCAAAUCGUACCCCAAACCGACACAGGUGGUCAGGUAGAGAAUACCAAGGCGCUUGAGAGAACUCGGGUGAAGGAACUAGGCAAAAUGGUGCCGUAACUUCGGGAGAAGGCACGCUGAUAUGUAGGUGAAGCGACUUGCUCGUGGAGCUGAAAUCAGUCGAAGAUACCAGCUGGCUGCAACUGUUUAUUAAAAACACAGCACUGUGCAAACACGAAAGUGGACGUAUACGGUGUGACGCCUGCCCGGUGCCGGAAGGUUAAUUGAUGGGGUUAGCGCAAGCGAAGCUCUUGAUCGAAGCCCCGGUAAACGGCGGCCGUAACUAUAACGGUCCUAAGGUAGCGAAAUUCCUUGUCGGGUAAGUUCCGACCUGCACGAAUGGCGUAAUGAUGGCCAGGCUGUCUCCACCCGAGACUCAGUGAAAUUGAACUCGCUGUGAAGAUGCAGUGUACCCGCGGCAAGACGGAAAGACCCCGUGAACCUUUACUAUAGCUUGACACUGAACAUUGAGCCUUGAUGUGUAGGAUAGGUGGGAGGCUUUGAAGUGUGGACGCCAGUCUGCAUGGAGCCGACCUUGAAAUACCACCCUUUAAUGUUUGAUGUUCUAACGUGGACCCGUAAUCCGGGUUGCGGACAGUGUCUGGUGGGUAGUUUGACUGGGGCGGUCUCCUCCUAAAGAGUAACGGAGGAGCACGAAGGUUGGCUAAUCCUGGUCGGACAUCAGGAGGUUAGUGCAAUGGCAUAAGCCAGCUUGACUGCGAGCGUGACGGCGCGAGCAGGUGCGAAAGCAGGUCAUAGUGAUCCGGUGGUUCUGAAUGGAAGGGCCAUCGCUCAACGGAUAAAAGGUACUCCGGGGAUAACAGGCUGAUACCGCCCAAGAGUUCAUAUCGACGGCGGUGUUUGGCACCUCGAUGUCGGCUCAUCACAUCCUGGGGCUGAAGUAGGUCCCAAGGGUAUGGCUGUUCGCCAUUUAAAGUGGUACGCGAGCUGGGUUUAGAACGUCGUGAGACAGUUCGGUCCCUAUCUGCCGUGGGCGCUGGAGAACUGAGGGGGGCUGCUCCUAGUACGAGAGGACCGGAGUGGACGCAUCACUGGUGUUCGGGUUGUCAUGCCAAUGGCACUGCCCGGUAGCUAAAUGCGGAAGAGAUAAGUGCUGAAAGCAUCUAAGCACGAAACUUGCCCCGAGAUGAGUUCUCCCUGACUCCUUGAGAGUCCUGAAGGAACGUUGAAGACGACGACGUUGAUAGGCCGGGUGUGUAAGCGCAGCGAUGCGUUGAGCUAACCGGUACUAAUGAACCGUGAGGCUUAACCUUACAACGCCGAAG